UACAGAGGGUGCGAGCGUUAAUCGGAAUUACUGGGCGUAAAGCGUGCGCAGACGGUUGCGUAAGUCAGAUGUGAAAGCCCCGGGCUCAACCUGGGAAUUGCAUUUGAGACUGCGUAGCUAGGGUGCGGAAGAGGGAAGCGGAAAUUCCGGUGUAGCGGUGAAAUGCGUAGAUAUCGGAAGGAACACCAGUGGCGAAAGCGGCUUCCUGGUCCAGCACCGACGUUCAGGCACGAAAGCGUGGGGAGCAAACAGG
rnacentral:rRNA from 1 species